rnacentral:lncRNA from 1 species
UGCUCAAGAGGUCUUUUCCUGUUAUCCUGGAAUUGCAGAAAUGAAGUGAAGAAUGUUUCUCUUAUUGAUCUUGCCAUGGAGAACAAAUGGAAUAAGUGCCAUCAAUAUUCUGAAAAUGGCAGUGAUUUUUAUUCAACCUGUAUAAGGCACUUUCACCAUGUACCUGGAAGCAACAUCUACAUCUUUUUCAGUUUUCCUCUGUCCACUAUGAAGGACUUUGUGACCACAUUCUGACUCUGAUGAGAUCCUGCCCAGAAUUGACCUGAACCCCAAUAAUUCACCUUUCUCUCAGCAAUCUAGAUGCUGGGGACACAAGGUCCACCUUCCAGGAAUAUGGCCAUGACACCAGAAAUCACAAACAUGAUGAGAAUGGAAUGACUGGGGAAGAAGUGCCAGAUGCUUCACUUGUAAAUGAAGACCCAGCCUCUGGGGAUGCAGAUACCACCUCCCUGAAGAAGCUGAAUAUCUGCAGAUAAGUGGAGUUCACCAAUGAUGAGGAGCGGGAUGGAGAAAGGAGGUAGGGAGAGUCAUCCAAGGAACAUGAGCAACAUGUUAAAAGAAUUGAACCAGAGUCCGGUGAAUAUCAGCACUGGGACCAGUUAGCAGAGGAAAAGGAAAGAAUAAAAGCGAAAAGAAUGAAGAGUCAUAUGAUUACCAACUUUUCCUUUUUCAUAUAAAUUGAGUGUAUAUGGGUCUGGAACAACCUGAAUUUCCAUCAAGUCCUGGCUAACCUCAUUAUGUCCUAUGAAUAUUUUUGACUAAUCCCACUUUACAUUAAUCUGUAUUGUGAAUGUGGAUAUUGAAUUAUAUUUCUUUGUAAUCCCAUUAUCCAAAAUCCAGUUCAGAGACUAUUAGUUACCAAUGUUCACUGUGAAGGAAAAAAAAAAAAAAAAAGCUCAGAGGAUAAACAUGUGAUAUGGUUUGGCUGUGUCCCCACCCAAAUAUCAUCUUGAAUUGUAGCUCCCAUAAUUCCCACGUGUUGUGGGAGGGACCCGGUGGGAGAUAAUUGUAUCAUGGGGGUGGUUCCCCCAUACUAUUCUCAUAGUAGUGAAUAAGUCUCACAAAAUCUGAUGGUUUUAUGAGGGAAAACCCCUUUCACCUGGUUCUCAUUCUCUUCUCUGGUCUGUCGUCAUGUAAGACAUGCCUUUCACCUUCUCCACCAUGACUGUGAGGCCUCCCCAGCCACGUGGAACUGUGAGCCCAUUAAACCUCUUUCACUUAUAAAUUACCCAGUCUCUGGUAUAUCUUUAUCAGCAGCAUGAAAACAGACUAGUACAACAUGUUUGGAAAUGAUGUUCAGAAUUAAAUUUUCUUCUUGAAGAAUAAUAAUGUACAGGAGUGUGUUGAAGAUUUUGAGAAUUCUCACAGCAAAGGAACUUGUUAAUUUUUUUAAUCCACCUACCUAAUAGAAUUAAUAUUUUAAGAGAAACAGCUUGUGAAACAAUUAUAUAUAUGGUCCCAUAAAAACUUUUAGAAAACAAUUAUUAUACACACAUAUAAACACAUAUUACUUACUAGUAAAGAUGUACCUAUCUUCCUAGGAAGCUCUUUCAUGGUAUUUCAUUAGUAUCCCUUCCAGCACCUACCAUCCAUCCAGGCAAAUUUUAGAUGUUUUACAAAGGUUUAUGAAAUUGCAUUAAACACCUGUUAAAAAUCACUUUGUUCAUUGCAAGACAUUUAUAUACUGUAGUUUUAAAGAAAGAUAACAGCUGAGGGGAGCUACAGGAAAAAGAAAAGCAUAGAACUUAUGUUGAAUUAUUUUUCUUGUGCAUAUGAAGUUGCUCUGUGAGAACAAGAGCACUCAGCAGACGUAUAGAUCCACUAUCUUUUCACAUGGCAAUAUGUUCAUCCUUUCAGACAAUUUGAGCAAGUUUGGAACAUAAAAUAAUACAAAGAGGCUAAAAUGCAAAGCAAAAAAAAAAAAAUGAAAAUGAUUGGCACAAAAUAAUGGAGCAAUUGUAAGAGAUGUUACAUGUGUAAACUUAAACCAGGACAUAAACCGUUGAAGUUCACCGUUUAAGGAAGCAUCCAAAUAUAUAAUAGUCCUGCUAAAUGCUUGGAGUAGCAAAUUUCUAUCACAUGCAUCCACAUGCACAUCUUACAUUAAAAUCCCGUGACAAUAGUGUUAACAUCUUGUCAUUUUAGCCUUGAAUGUCAAAGGCUCAUGGGAUCUACUCCAUGACUCACAUAACCUGUAUAUCUAGAAACAGGUGUUUUAAACUCUACAUCUGGUGAUAAAUAUUAAAGAUAGAAGAUGAGAGUUCUAAAACAGUCUACUUAUUUCAUUUCCACUUGGCUUUGCCACCAUUACCUAAACUAUUACAGAUUGAGCUCCACAGACUACUCAGAAUUCUCCUCCUGUCUUGAAAUUCCAAAUGCAAUUUUCCCAGGAUUUUUAGAAAUUUAUGAAAUUAUUAGCCAAAAAUAUUAUAUUUCAAGAUUAAGCCCUCAUCCUACAGUUUAGAAAACCAAGAGCCAGCUGAAAAUACUUGCUCAAAUUCAGAGAAUGAAUGUUGUCUAAAUUAGUUCAAAAACAAGUGACUCAUUGAAGAUAAAGUAGUGUGGUGAUUAAAAGCAUGUACUUUGAAAAAAAAAAAAGUGACUCUUGGCUUGUAAUACAAUUUUUUCACUGCAUUAUUCUAAGGAAAUUUGUUAGUAGAGCUGAAAUAAUACAGCAUUAGGGUUAAAAAGUACAAGUUUCAAAGUUACAAAGACCAAGGUAGCGAAAGGCAAAUUACUCAACCUCUCUAAACAUGGUUUAUUCAUUAGUAAAAGAAGAACAAGAAUAUUAUUUAUGACAUAGUAUUAAGAGUUUUAAACAAUGUAGAAUACUGAAAGUGCCAAAAAACUAUUGUCAUUAUUACAUAUGUAAGUAAAAUUUAUUUUCUGCAUAUCAUUGUAUUAGUCUGUUUUCAUACUGCUACAAGGAACUACCCAAGCAGGUAAUUUGUAAAGAAAAGAGGUUUAAUUGACACACAGUUCAGCAUGGCUCGGGGGGCGGGGGGGCCCUCAGGAAACUUACAAUCAUGAUGGAAGGCAAAGGGGGAGCAAGGCACCUUCUUCACGAGGCGGCAGGAAGGAGAAAUGCUGAGUGAAAGGGGAAGAGCCCCUUAUAAAACCAUCAGAUCUAGUGAGAACUCACUAUCAUGAGAACCGCAUGGAAGAAACUGCUUCUGUGAUUCAGUUAUCUCCACUUGGUCUCUCCCUUGACACACGACGAAUUACAAUUCAAGAUGACUUUUGGGUGGAGACACAAAGCCUAACCAUAUCAAUCACCAUACCUUUCAAAAACUACAAAUAGUUUUCAUUACAUUUGGAGGUCAGUCUCAUGUAAAUUAUAAUGAGGUAUCAUAUUCAAAAUCCACUUUGAUCUCUGCUUCUAAGAGGACGGAGUGGACAUAAUUUCCGUAUUCCUCCCAAUGGGCACAACUAAAAACUCUGGAAAUGAUAUAUAAAACAAAUGUAAGAAGACUCUAAAGCAUGGAAAGAAAAAGGCAGGCGAGCUUGGGAAAUUGGAAUUCAAUGAACUACACAGUGCUGAGUUCCCUGAGUUUUCAUCUUGCCUCACAUAUCAUCUCAGACUGGGCACUAAAGACAUCAACAACCCGAAAAUACUAAAACGCUAAUGGACACAAACACCAAAACACACACAUACACACACAAAUAAAAACCCAAGAGAAGCCUGCUUUCUCUUGCCAAUGGACCAGAAAAGAAGCAGCAUAGGAAGACAGAAAACAUUUAGACAAUAACCACUUUACUCUAGCCAAACACUAUGUAAAAUACUGCAUGCCUACCCCUAGAAGCAAAGGCAGAGGGGAGAGUCCAGUCUUUGGACUCUUGCCAGGCUGCCAGGAGGUGCUGCAAGCCCUACCUACCUCCAGAGUGGUGUCAGAGAAGGCAGAGUGGAAAGCUGAGACCAUCAUCCCUAUCAGGUGGUAAAGAGGAUCCCCUUCAGGGUGUCAGGGGAGUCCAUGGGAAGAGGGAUAGGGACUUGGAUUUCCACCCUACCCAGAGGCACCAAGGCACCCACACUCCUCUCACUGAGGUGCUGUCAGAGGAGGUCUAAUGGAGAGUCGGUACUUUAAUGUGGCUCAGUGGUAACAAGCUCGACCCCAAAAGUGCUAGUAGAGGCCAUGUGGGAAGCUGUAAGAAGACAUCCCUCCCCUCCCAGCCAGGGUGGUAUCAACAGAUACCUAAUGGGGAACUGAGUUUUGACCAAAGUGCAAAAGCAAUUCAAUGGAGGAACAAACUUUUCAAUAAAUGGUGCUGAAGCAAUUGGAUACCUAUAGGCAAAAAAAUAAAAAUAAAAAAAAAUUAGACCUCAAACGUUUAACAAAAAUUAACUCAAAAUAAAUAGUAUAUUUAAUAUAAAAUGUAAACUACAAAACUUACAAAAUAACAUUGGAGAAAAUUUUCAGGACCUAGGACUUGGUGAAGAAAAUGUAGAUGUGACACCAAAAGCACAAUCCAUACGAGUAAAAAAUCAAUAAAUUGGAUCUACUUUUGCUCUGUGAAAGAUCCUGUUUAAGAGAAUGAAAAGACAAGCUAUAGAGUGGGAGAAAAUAUUUGCAAAUAUCAGUGAGAUUUCUUAAAAUUGAACAGUUAAAAACAAAUAACCCAAUUAGAAAAUGGGCCUUCCCCACCCCCAAAAAACCCAUGAAGAGACAUUUCAGACAUGUAAGCAAAUGAAAAAAUGUUCAAAGUCACUAGCUAUUAGGGAAAUGCAAAUAAAGACCAUGAGGAGACAUCACUACAUACCUUUCAACAUGCUGACAUAAAAAAAACGGUGACAACACCAGAUGCUAGCAAGGAUACAGAGAAACUUGAUGUCUCAUACAUUGCCAGUGGGAAUACAAAAUGGUUAAGCCACUGUGGAAAACAGUUUGGCUGUUUCUUAAAGUAAUUAAACAUAUGCUUACCAUACAACCCAGAAAUUGUACUCCAGGGCAUUUAUCCCAGAGAAAUGAAACAUUAUUGUAGCAGUUUUUUGUUGUUGUUGUUAUAGCCAAAACCUGGAAUACAGCAAUAAAAAGGAAUAAACUAUUAAUACACACCAUGAUUUGGAUGGAUUUCAAAGUCAUUACAAUAAGUGAAAAAAAAUCUCAGAGGACACAUUUAUAUGUGAGCUCAUUUAUACAACAUUCUUGAAAUGAUAAAAUUACAGAGACAGGAAAAAAAAAUUAUGUUUCCCAUGAGUUAGGGAUGGUAUAGGCGAGGAAAUUGAGUGCAGCUAUAAAGGGGUAAUUUGAGGGAGAUCUUUGUGGUAAAGGAAUAGUUCUGUAUCUUGAUUGUACUGAUGAUAUAGACUGAUGAAUCUACACAUAUGAUAAAAUGACAUGGAAUCAUAUAUACUCAUUGUCUAAUUUCUGUCUUUGAUGCUGUAUUAUAGUUAUAUAAGAUGUAUCCAUUGAUGGAAACUGAGAGAAGAGUACGUGGGUUGUCUCUGUGCUACUUUUGCAACUUCCUGUGAAUCUACAAUUAUUUUAAAAUAAAAUUUUUCUUUUUUUAUUAUACUUUAAGUUCUAGGGUACAUGUGCACAAUGUGCAGGUUUGUUACAUAUGUAUACAUGUGCCAUGUUGCUGUGCUGCACCCAUUAAGUCGUCAUUUACAUUAAGUAUAUCUCCUAAUGCUAUCCCUCUCCCCUCCCCCC